rnacentral:rRNA from 1 species
GGGAGCUCUCCCAUAUGGUCGACCUGCAGGCGGCCGCGAAUUCACUAGUGAUUAGAGUUUGAUCAUGGCUCAAAACGAACGCUGGCGGCAUGCCUAACACAUGCAAGUCGAACGAAGGCUUCGGCCUUAGUGGCGCACGGGUGCGUAACGCGUGGGAAUCUGCCCCUUGGUUCGGAAUAACAGUUAGAAAUGACUGCUAAUACCGGAUGACGACGUAAGUCCAAAGAUUUAUCGCCGAGGGAUGAGCCCGCGUAGGAUUAGCUAGUUGGUGUGGUAAAGGCGCACCAAGGCGACGAUCCUUAGCUGGUCUGAGAGGAUGAUCAGCCACACUGGGACUGAGACACGGCCCAGACUCCUACGGGAGGCAGCAGUGGGGAAUAUUGGACAAUGGGCGAAAGCCUGAUCCAGCAAUGCCGCGUGAGUGAUGAAGGCCUUAGGGUUGUAAAGCUCUUUUACCCGGGAUGAUAAUGACAGUACCGGGAGAAUAAGCUCCGGCUAACUCCGUGCCAGCAGCCGCGGUAAUACGAAUCGAAUUCCCGCGGCCGCCAUGGCG